rnacentral:rRNA from 1 species
AACGAACGCUGGCGGCAGGCUUAACACAUGCAAGUCGAACGCCCCGCAAGGGGAGUGGCAGACGGGUGAGUAACGCGUGGGAACGUACCUUUCAGUUCGGAAUAACUCAGGGAAACUUGUGCUAAUACCGGAUACGCUCGCAAGAGGAAAGAUUUAUCGCUGAAAGAUCGGCCCGCGUUGGAUUAGCUAGUUGGUGGGGUAAUGGCCUACCAAGGCGACGAUCCAUAGCUGGUCUGAGAGGAUGAUCAGCCACAAUGGGACUGGAAAACGGCCAAAACUCCACGGGGGGGAGGCAUGGGGAAUUAUUGGACAAGGGGCGAAGGCCUGGCCCAUCCAGGCCGCGUGAGUGAUGAGGGCCUUAGGGUGUAAAGGCGCUUCAACCGAUAAAGUAAAGACGGUAGGUCGGAGAAGAGCCCCGGCUAACUUCGUGCCAGCCGCCGCAGUAA